rnacentral:rRNA from 1 species
UACGAAGGGGGCUAGCGUUGUUCGGAUUUACUGGGCGUAAAGCGCACGUAGGCGGAUCGAUCAGUCAGGGGUGAAAUCCCAGAGCUCAACUCUGGAACUGCCUUUGAUACUGUCGAUCUGGAGUAUGGAAGAGGUGAGUGGAAUUCCGAGUGUAGAGGUGAAAUUCGUAGAUAUCAGGAGGAACACCGGUGGCGAAGGCGGAUCUCUGGACCAGUUCUGACACUGAUGAGCGAAAGCCAGGGGAGCAAACAGG